rnacentral:rRNA from 1 species
GAUGAACGCUGGCGGCGUGCCUAAUACAUGCCAGUCGAGCGAACAGACGAGGAGCUUGCUCCUCUGACGUUAGCGGCGGACGGGUGAGUAACACGUGGAUAACCUACCUAUAAGACUGGGAUAACUUCGGGAAACCGGAGCUAAUACCGGAUAAUAUAUUGAACCGCAUGGUUCAAUAGUGAAGGACGGUUUUGCUGUCACUUAUAGAUGGAUCCGCGCCGCAUUGGCUAGUUGGGAAGGUAACGGCUUACCACGGCGAGGAUGCGUAUCCGACCUGAGAGGGUGAUCGGCCACACUGGAACUGAGACACGGUCCAGACUCCUACGGGAGGCAGCAGUAGGGAAUCUUCCGCAAUGGGCGGAAGCCUGACGGAGCAACGCCGCGUGAGUGAUGAAGGUCUUCGGAUCGUAAAACUCUGUUAUUAGGGAAGAACAAAUGUGUAAGUAACUAUGCACGUCUUGACGGUACCUAAUCAGAAAGCCACGGCUAACUACGUG